rnacentral:sRNA from 1 species
GAAAAUCGCCCAAUUUGCAUUUGUUUAUACAUUUUCUCUCCUUUUGGGUCUGAGGCUGUUUUCUUCUCGUCCAGUUAGGGUAUCCGAGUUCACUCAGCAAUCCCACCAGCCACAGCCGGAGGUCCGGUUCGCCACACAGCUCUCCUGCACCUGUCAGAGGCCGCCGGUCGAGAUCAUUGUCGAGGUCUAGGAGAAGUCGUUCUAGGUACCGGACUGCCAUCUGGUUACAGGCCCUCGCAACCAAGAAUCUCGUGGAUUUGGCUUUGUCGCAAUGGAAACUGUUGAGAAUGCAGAACGCUGCAUCAAAUAUUUGGAUCGGUCUGUGCUUCAAGGUCGAUUAGUUACAGUUGAAAAGUAUGCUGUUGAAUUGUUUAUACUUUUUUCUUAUGAAGAUUUUACCUCUUAAAAAUGUUGCCUAACAAGUUUUGGCAGCAGGUCUGGUCACUGUAGCUUUCACUAUCUAAGCUCUACACAGUCGAAACUAUCCCCUUCACGACAUGAGUAUUUGCGUCGACAUUCAAUAAUCAUCAAUACAAACUCAACUAUUUUGCCGAGGGUUGAAUGCCCUUUAUUCCUCUCUUUCGUUUGCAACAGCGUCUUCCAUGGUUGUUAUUUACCUUACUAUUUAAUGCACUGCUAUGGACUGUCCUUUGCGAUGAUUAUGAUCCACAUGGAAGCAGCCGCAAAUGGAAGGCACUGUUACUGUUUUAAGUAGAUUGCAAAAAGGAAACGAGGGAGGACUCCAAAUCCUGGAAGGUAUCAAGGUUUGAGAGAUAAACGAGGAGGUCUACUGUGUUAUUUUAUGCCUGGCCCUCUAGAUCUGAACAAUCUGCAUUUCGGGUGUACAAUCGAGUUCGCCAUAGCUAAUUUUUGGAUUAGAGCCUAUUAUAAUGCUUUGUUUGAGUGGAUUCACAUCUCAUGUGAACCAUGGCUUACAAAGAUGCAGGACGUGAUCGUGAUCAUGACCCUAGACGAUAGUGAAGUUAUUCACCUCGUAGGUUUCAAGACAGAGAUCCUUAUUCCGGGGACCGCCGAGGAACAUCACGCUCUCGAUACGGUAUGAGGGUGGAUGAACACUGGGACUCGUACAGGAGGCGCAGAAAACGCACCUUGUCCUGUGGCAGAAACCCUAGAUAGAGAAAAUUAAUCCAAAUGAGCUUCUGACCGUCCCUGCAUUUGUUAGUUUUACACCUAGAUGUGGGGUUUUGGGAUCUUUAGUACAUUUUCACCAAGUAUUUUUGCAAUGUUGUUGUACUUGUGUAUUGUAUUUGUAUGUUAACAAUUUAUUCUUAAUAAAGUUGUUUACGUCUUCCAUUUU